rfam:Pan troglodytes isolate Yerkes chimp pedigree #C0471 (Clint) chromosome 10, whole genome shotgun sequence.
GGGGGUAUAGCUCAGGGGUAGAGCAUUUGACUGCAGAACAAGAGAGGGGCGCACCGGGCACAGUGGCUCACGCCUGUAAUCCCA